GGCCUGGUGGCUCAGCGGUAGAGCGUUUCCUUUCAGUUCUGGCGGCGGCGGCGACACAAACUCUGGCGGCGGCGACACGCCAACAUUGGCGGCGGCGGCGGCGACAAACUACUGGAAAAGGUCCUCGGUUCGAAUCCGAGCGAGGCCA
rfam:Fusarium graminearum chromosome 1, complete genome